rnacentral:piRNA from 1 species
UUUUCUGUAGUUUCAUUAUGU